rnacentral:tRNA from 1 species
UUAAUGAAGCAUCAUUUCGGAAG